CAAUUGGCCAGCAGCGCAGACGAGCUUUAUAUACAUAUCUAUGGGCGCGAACCCGGGAGGUCGCGCCCAGCUUGAGCUUCCGCAUUAUUAACACUGGGCUGCGUUCAGCCCCGACAAAACGUUGCACAACGUUUAUUAAACUGAAACGGUGAUGCAUUGAACACCCUGUUGUGAUGACGCAAAAGUUGCAACUACGGUAGCUGAGGGGCCAUUCUUUGUGUUCUUUUUUAAAUGUUUCUGAAGCCUGACGAAAUCGUUAUAAAUGUGUGUUUAAUACUGUAAAAUACCCUCGAUGUUACAGUCACUGACCUUGCCGUCCAGAAUGAAAGACAACAUUCCAACUUGAACCCAUUGAGCGAGCUGUCUCUUUACUACCGCGUGGUUUUAAACAUCUUGCCGCUGAUUGGGCUGACAUUUGUGACACACCCACCAAACAAGAGAAAACGCUUCUAAAACCUGUUGCAUUCCGUUGCACACCGUUUCCAGGAAACAUGUCGUUCAACCCGGAAACCGUAGCAAAACGUUGCGCACCGGUGUGAGAUUGAACGUGCCCCUGUUAUGCUGCGUUCCAGGGAACCGGUGUUGUGUCGAACUCAGUUCCCCCUAUGUUUCCCUUUAGUGUAGUGCUUUUAUAGCGUUUUCAUCACGUUACAUUUAGAAAGAUUAAAGAUUUGAAUUGGUUAUACUAAAAAGGCAUAAUAUCAUGUAUUUUAUAAUACAAUUUAUUAAAUAUUUCAUACAUUUGACAGUUUUUUAUUAGGGUAUUUCUUUUAAAAUAUAGCCUGUCUUUUUCUCUUUUUUCUUUACUGGUUGUUUUAAAAAUGUAAUGUUUGCAUACAUAAAUAAAUAAAUAUUAUACAUAUAAUAUGAUUCAUACUGUAAAAAUAAUUGACUUACCAUUAAGAACAAUACAGAUACAUUACAGAAAUGCACACAUAUACAUCUCAGUAGCCAUUAAAACUUUAAAUAUAUAAAUAAUAAAACCUAUAACGUGAUAAAAACGCCAUAAAAACACUACACUGAAGGGAAAAAUAGGGGGAACAGACUUCGACACAACACCGGUAACCCGUAACUCACGAGUUCAAAACCACGACUCACGACUUUGAACUGGGAGUACAUUGAUCUAGUACGAGUUCACGGGUGGGAAGUCACGGGUUUGACUGCCGUUCCAGUGCACUUUCACCGGUAGAAGGUUGUAAAAACACGAGUUACAGGCUGCCUGGAACGCAUAGGGUCGUGAGUCGUGGUUUUGAAGUCGUAACUCACGAGUUUAAAAGCCUGCCUGGAACGCAGCAUUAGCUUCACUGUUAUUUUAAUUGCGAGAGACGAAAAAAUGUUUGAACAAAGAGCCUAGGUAGUGGGAAGUACACAAAAUACAUGCAGUUUUUUCUAGUGUAAUGUUUAUUAAUAUGUUGGAGGCAAUUCCUCAAAAUCUACUUUAUAAAAUAUACUAUUGUAAACAGAAUAUGGUUGGUAUAUCAACCCUUAUGAUUUGAUAAUAAUGUAUGUUUUUUUUUUCUCUUUCCCCUGUACUUUUGUUACAUCAUUUUUUUGCUGUCUAGACAUUUUUGUGGUAAGUCAUUUAUAUAACAAUCUCUGUUGCAACAUAAUACUUUUUUUCUGAACAGUUAACCUUGCACAUGAUAUUUAAAUAGUAAUGUUUAAUUUUUCUUUCUUUUGCUCUUUUGAAAACUUUAACUGCUUUAGCUAAACCUCAGCCAAAUUCCUGGUUUUGCUGGGCAACAGCACCUAUUUAAUACAAUUUUUUAUAGCGAACCCAAAGGCUCUUUUCAGAGCCAUCCACAUUGCGUCACUGGUAAGUCAUUUUCAAUUACUUUUGAAUCAGUAAUUGCCUAAUGACAUUAUAACAUUGUUUUUCUGUUAAUGUAACAGAUAUUGUUUACCAAUGUUUAUUGUUGUUUGUCAGUUUUGGCCAUUUCAGCAUGUUUGAAAUAGGGGUGUAACGGUUCAAAUUACUCACGUUUCGGUGCGUAUCACGGCUUAGGGUCACAGUUUCAGUACACAUUGGUCACAACAGGCUGCUUUACAAAAAUAAAAACCUAAGCCGUUUUUAACCUCUGCCAAAAUCAACAUUUUCACUUAAGAGCACUAGUAUUAUUAUACUAUAUACCAGCUUUACUGUGCAAUUCAAUAUGAACAUAUUGAAAAUAGCUUAGAACACUGGAUUACUUUUUAUAUUAUAUGCCGCUAUCUUCAAGUUUUUUUUGCAAGAAGAUAGGUUUGUUAAAAUUCAAACACAGAAGGCAAUUUGUGCUGUUUCUGUCUCACCUGCAAUCGUGUGCUAUCAACAAAACCCUGGUGAUGACGUGUAAGGGACUCGUCAUAUUAGAUGUAUUGCCUUAGGCAUACAGCACUUGCGAAUUUUACAGUUUUGUCCACAUUUUCUUGAGCAUCGCUGCUGCAGUAGACUUAAAUGCAGCUGGGGAUGACUCUGUUAGCGUCUUUUCUCCUUCGUUUGCCGUGCUAAACGGUCUGUGAAACACACAAACACGCGAGGAUGAACUGUGAGGUUGGCAACAAAUUUGCAUACUUCGAGUUGAUUGGACAGGUACUCUCACCUUAACACAUGCAGAGAUUAUUCAGAACCAUACAUUAGCUUUUUUAUGCAUCGUUUUUUCACCAAACUAUAAUAGAAAUGUGCGGUCGAAUUAAACACGGUGCACGUGCGUCCCAAACUGUGGGCGGAAAACAGGACGAUUCGAUUCUUUACCGAGAACCGUUACACUCCUAGUUUGAAAGUAAAACUGACUUUAUUGAAGAUGUACUCCACCUUCAGAAAUAAAAAUUAUAGAUUUUUUUACUUAGCCCCAUCUAAGUCAUCUAAGGUAUUUAUGCCUUUUUUUCAUGAGCUGAACACAAUCAGAGUUCUAAUUAUUAAUAUACUGGCUCCUUUUUGCUUUGUAAUAAGUUUGAUCAUGGACCAAACAUUUACGAUCUCAAAAAAGUCCAUCCAUCCAUCCAUCAUUAAAGUAAUCCAUAUACAACCCAGUGGUUUAAUAAAUGUAUUUAGAAGCAAAGUAUAAGGUUUAUAAGAAAAAGUUUAGUUCUGAGCACUUUUAGUGAUUAGUUACAUAUACGUAAUUUUAUAAAACAAAAUCAACUAUAGAUUUAAAUAUAGUGGUAUGUAAAAUCUUAUUGGUUCUUGUGUUUCAUCAUGAGUUGUGACAAAACUGACAGUCGUUAGACACUAAAUGUAUUAUUGUCUGUUUAUUUAAGGUAUGUUUUGUAACUAAAAGGUCAAAAUAUGAAUUGUUUUUUUAUUAACCCACUGGAUACAUUAAAUUUUGAUUACUUUAAUAAUGGAUGGAUGCAGUUUUUGGAGCUUCUAAACAUUUGGUCUCUGAUCAGAGCCAUUACAAAGCAAGGAACAGCCAGGGUAUUAUUUAAUAUAGGUCUGGUUGUAUUCAACUGAACAAAGAAAGACAAACAUCUUGGAUGACAAGGGGGUGAGUUAAAAAAAAUUUUAAUUCUGAAGGUGGCAUUUUACAGUUUAGGUUCUAUUGUGUUGCCUGAUGCGAUAAUUUAUUAAAUUAACAAUCUUUACAUUAAUACCACAGGAAAGGGAACAUUUUGAACAGGAAUAUCAUAUAAUUAAUUGUUUAUUCUGAAGCAUAUGUGACUAACUAGAUCAUUUUGGGUACGACUAAAUAAGAUCAAGACUUAAUUUUUACCAAUUAUUAUAGGACAGCAGAAACACUGAAGUUUGAAUGACAUAAUACUGCACAUUGUGGACCUUUGUAUUUAGAAACUAUUUAGACCCCCUACACAGUUCAAUUUUGUUAGGUCUCAAUAUGAUACUACAAUAAUCCCCCCCCCCCUCUUAUUAUUAAUCUGCACUCAGUACCCCAUUAUGAGAAACUGAAAACAGGAUUUGGAAAUGUCUAAAUGUAUUUAAAAGAAGAAAAAAAAAUGAAAUUAUUCAGACACUUUACUUGGUAGUUAGUUGAAGCACUUUUUGCAGCAAGUACAGCCUCGAGUCUUUUUGGGAAUGACGCAACAAGCUUUGCACAUCUGGAUUGAAGGAAUUUCUGCCAUUCUUCCUUUUAAAUCCUUUCAAGCUCAGUGAGUUUGGAUAUGAACUGUCGGCUGACAGCCGUUUUCAGGUCUCUCCAGAGAUGCUUGGUGAGGUUGAAGUCAGGGCUUUGGUUGGUCCACUUCUCACAUAGUUGUCCCUAAACCACUACUGUGUUGUCCUUGUUCUUUGCUUAGGGUCAUUUUCAUAAGGUUUUAGUGAGGAUAUCUCAGUGGACUCGAGUCAAGGUGUAGAAAAUCUCGGCAUUGAUCAACACAAAUAAAUGGCACCUAAACAAAAUUUCUAGUGUUAUCGCAAAGGGUCUGAAUACUUAAGUAAAUGUGAAAUUAUUUUUUUCCUUUAAAACAUUUUACAGAAAUGUCUUAAAUUCAGUUUUCACUUUGUCAUUAUGGGGUACUAGAUGUUGAUUAAUGAGAAUGAUUUAAAUUCUUUUUUUUUUUUUUUUUGAGUCAGAAGAUUUAAAUUAGGCCUUGAAAAGCUGCAUCUGACAUGGGACUUUUAUUAACACACCCCCAGGUUCACAGACAAGGUUUAGUAAAACACAUCUUAAGAUAUGCCAGUGCCAUUGAUUUGUCUUAUGAUACACACCAGUAAUGUCUUCUUCAAAGGAGUGCUUUUUAAAGAUGUCCACAGUGUUUAAUAUUGUGACAACUGCAUUAUCUUUGGAAAGUAAUAUAAUUUUAAAUUCUUGAGGUGUAUAUAAAUUAUUAAAAGGAUUAAUGCAAACAUAACAAAUUUGCAAAUAAAGUAAAGGGGUUUAAGUACUUUCUAAAUACACUGUAAAUGUGGUCAUGCCUACUUUGAACUAAUUUGUCGUUUUUGUUGAUUUUGUUUUUCCUAGAUUGGACAUCUAAUUCAUCUUUCAGCUUGCCUCUUAAAAACUGCCAGGAAACCCAAAAAAACACAGAUUCAACUAAAAAAAAAAGCCUAUAAUUUCUACCCAAAAACAACGACCCAUUUUUUUACCCCACCCAGCCAAUCUGUUGCCCUAACCCCAAAACACCGACUUUCCCCAAAACAGAACGUCCCUUUAACCUUUUGCUUUGACAGAAAGAGUGAGAGCAGAACUACCUACAGCUCCAGUGUGCCCUGCUGCCUUGAGUGUCUUCACAAAGCAACGUUGAUUAGAGGACUGCGUUGGGAAAUCAACACCAUCAACACACACAAUAAUUGACUAUAGUUUUAAAAUUACAUAAUUUCCUAUAGUCUUUUAGACUGCUUAUAAUAGAUAAUACACAUUACAGUACUUUUAAAAGUCAUUAAUAUAUCAGUAAAAAAAAAUUGUUUUAGCAAGUUCAUCUUUGAAACGUAUUACAUUUAUAUCUGAGUCUUUUCACAUUUGCCUAUACUCUACUAAUUAAUUGCAUUAGUAAUUUUGCCUUUGGUUAUCAUUUCUGUAAAAUAUUGAGGUUAACAGUUCCAUUGCUAUAGUCUUGUGUGUUUGUAUAUCUAAUUUCUUGACUGUUUUAACGGUGAAAUUUUAGUACAGUACUUUAAUAUAUCAGUAAAAUAUUCUAAGUUUGACUGUUGUUGUAACUGCUAUUUGAAUAGACUACAUUUAAAGGUCAUUAAAAUAUUUUGGUUUGCCAAGUUCCUCUUUGAAUCUUACCACAUUGUAACAUUUACCUUUAUUAAUUGAUUGCAUUACUGAUAUUGCUUUUGGUUAACAUUUUUGUACAAUAUUGGGGUUGACGGUGUUUGACAGUAUAACAGUUCAAUUGCUAUAGUUUAGUGUGUUUGUAUAUUUAAUUUGUUGACUUGUUACUGAAAUUUCAGUCCUGUACUUAAAAAGCUAAUUAAUAUAUCAGUAAUAUAUUUACAGUUUGACUCUUGUUGUAAUUGAUAUUUGAGUGCAGUACAUUUAAAGGUAAUUAAAAUAUCAGUGAAGUAUUUUGGUUUGGC